rnacentral:lncRNA from 1 species
AGGACAGCUGCAAGAUUCAAGUAAAAGCAGGAAGAGCUCGAGGAAAUAAUACUGGUCAGAGGAGAAUGGGCAUUUACUUCUCACUAAAAAUACAAGGUAUAGCUGAAUAGGAAAGUCUAUCAAGAGCUUAGGAAAAAAAAUCACAAAGUUGUAAAGCUGACUAAUCACUAAUUUUCCUAUUUGCUAUAUAACAACAAUGACAUUAAAAGAAACUGCAAUUCAACAUUUAAAAAUGCAACUUACAUUUAAAGACUUUUCAAAAGUGAAAUGCAAUGACAGCCUCACACUCCAAAUUAAGUAUCUGCUAGGCUCAGACUGAAAUACGGAAUGUUCUAGAUGAAAUAAAAAUACAGUGUUACUUUUUAUUUUUUAUUGAGAAUGGAUAGGCGAAUUUUCGAAGCUUGAAAGUAGUAAAUUUCACUUCAAGAAAAUUUUCUUGCCAUAGACGAGCGUUCCACAAGGAUGCAAGAUUUUUUCUUUAAUAGCUCAGUGUCAAAACGAAAACUUGUUGCCAUUCCCACAUGAAGAACAAAUUUUUUUCAUUAACUUAACUGCUUAUGCUUUUUGCUACAACACUGAACACAUGAACAGACCUAUAACAUCUACUGUAUCUCACUAAAACAAAAAAAAAGAAUACAGUAUUUCCAUCUACUACUUGUACUGCUUUUAAAAAAAGAUUAACAAUAAGAACAAAGCCACUGUUUUCCUUACAUCCAUCCUUCUUUUUAUGCUUCUUUCUUUUGCCUGUAGUCUUCUGCCAUUUUAUCCAGAAUUUUCUUCAACUUUUGAUAAUGAGGAAGGCUGCUGCAAUGGGUCUUUUUUGCAACAUCUUCAUUUGUGUAGAACAGGGAACACAAUUUGCAAUAAAACCCUGUUUUGGGUACCACAUAAUUCACACCAACAGGAACAUUUGGCUGGUAUGGCCCAAUCCUAAAUUCAUCUGGAAUAAGAGCUUUCUCUUGGACACUCUUUGUUUCCUGUUCAUCCUGGGUGUCUAUAUUUUCAUGGGCAUUUUUCUCAGGAUCUUGUGCUGCUGUGGUGUCGGAAGCUUCAACAGCUUCAGCCUUCAGAUUAUCUUCAGUCUUGGUACCAUUUUCUAACGUUUCAUUUUCCUGCUCUGGCUCCUCAAUCUUGUCUACUUUGAUUUCUGCCAAACUAUCAUCAUUUUUGCCAGCAGAUUUUACUGCCAAACCCGACUUCCGAAGUUUCUGAUGAUCUGAGUCUUCUUCAUCACCAACCUCAUCUAGAGUGACAAAGCCUUCCAUGCUCCGUGGAAAGCCACCCACGUAUCGCUUUUUAAGUUUUUUCUUUGUUGCUGGAUUGGCCACAACAUUUCCCUCGGUUUUUACGGUCACAUCAUCAGCUGGGUCCUUUUUUUCUUCAGUAGUCACAUCAGUUAAAUUGGCAACAUCUGCAUCAUCUCCUGCUGAGCUGCCACUUUCCAGCAGUGCUGCUGCUUCCUCCUCAUCCACUAGGAGCUCAUCUUCAGAUUCAAGGAGUAAACUAGGCUCAUCUUGGUCUGCCUGCUCGCUGCUUUUAGUGCCCGAUGGCUCAGCAGUAUCAUCUUGCUUCUCCUCUUUUGCUUUAUCUUCUACAGUGCCACUUUCAGGCUUCUGAGUAGCAUCAGUCUUAGACUUCUUAUCACUUGGAGAGUCUUUACUGUCUGGAGAAUAUGUUCUCUUCCUAGUUUUAUCCUUUUUCAGAAGUUCAACUCCUUUGUUUGGAAUCCUCAACACCAAUUUCUUGUAUUUUUCAGAUAGAUCCACUUUCACACAUCUGCCUUGGAACCAAAGAGCUUUGUUGGCACAAUGUUCAACCAUGGCUAGAGCAUCUUCUCUGGUCUCCAUUUCAAUGAAAGCCUGGCUCUUCAUCCUCAUGAGUAUGUAGUUCUUAAUUUUUCCAUAUGGUUCAGCCAGUUUGAGCACGGCGUUAUCGGAGUACCCCGAAUGAGGUAAAUUGCUGAGGUGAAUCACACGACCAAGUUCUGGUUUUGGUGCCUCCGUUUUUUGGUCAGGUUUACCUUCAGGUUUCUUUAUCCUUUUGUAUUUCUGCGACAGGUGGACUCUGACUGGUUUACCAAAUACCAGUGCAGGUGUUGUUGAAUAGUACUCUACUGCAGCCUGAGCAUCUUCAGUGGUUGACAUUUCAAUAAAUGCCUCAUUGAUUUUGUUUAGAAUCAAGUGAUUUGUAAUUAUUCCAAAUGGUUCAACAAGCUGAAGCAAUUGAUAUCUCAAGUUCUUCCCUCUCUGGAAAUCCAUGAUGUGAACAACUCUGCUUGUUUCCACUCUGCCCUUCUGCAUGUGUCUCGGUCCUUGCAUGUUGCCAUUUCCAGCUCCUCUUGGCCCAACAGGAGGCCCUCCCAGGUGGAAUGGAGGUGGUGGGGGUCCCAGAAUUCCUGGUGCAGGGUUUGUGGACUGCUGCAACAUAAAGGGAUCACCCAUUCCAUGUCCUGAAUCACUGUCAGGGUUCCAUUCUGGAUAUAUUUCAAGCAGCAGCUGACAGCGUCGGCCAUGAGUCGCUCCAUUGAUAUGGUGAUUCCACUCCUUAUUAGAAUGAACUGGCAUAUCACAUAUAGAGCACAGAUGGGGAUAACCCUUCGGUAAGAAUCCAUGGAAGUCUUCAAUAUUGCUAUUUGGAGGAGCACCUCUCUUUUUCUCAAAGAGAGAUCUCUCGGGACCAGGGCCACGACCCAUUCUGUCAUACUCACUGUCAAAUUUAUGAUAGUUAUGCGAAGUCUCACCAUAGAAAGAUUCAUCCCUACACCUUUCUCCAUCUCUCAAUCUGUCAUCUUCAUAAUCCAUUCUGUCAUAAUAACCAGAUUCUUGAGAACGACUUCCAUGGUCAUAGUCAACUACCGGGUUGAGACUAGGACCACGAUCAUCAAAGCUAUCUCUUCUAAAAUGCCUUUUUUCUUCCCAAUCAUCCCUAGGUACUCUGUACGGUGGUUCCCGUGUGGAUGAUCUGCCAUCUCUACCAUAACCUUCUUCAGCUCUCCUCCUUUUAAGUUGUAGAAGGAUCUGAGGCAAGUUUUCAGGAGUAAUCUUGUCCUCGGGAUAGCGACUCAGUUCAUCUAAGUCUCUAGCAGACAGACCAAAGCUGGCCAAAAUAUUAGUGGCCUGGUCUGCAUCUCCACGGUGCUGAGAAGACAAAGGGAGCGGACCUCUACUUCCAAUGUUAAAUAUAGACUGCAAAUUAUGGGAAGAGGUACUACCAGAAGACAGUGCACUAUGAGAUCCUUGUUGGUUCAAUGAAGAACUCAUUCCAAGAUUCAUUAAGCUAGCAAGGCGUGCAGUACCCUGGUUCAUCCUUCCAAGAGAUGCUGGCAUAUUUAAAGACUGGGUAGCAGCAGCAAGAAGGCCUAUUCCUGCAGAGAGCUCACGCCCAUGACCUUGUGAAUCCCUACUCAGAGAUGACUGCUGGAAUGACUUGGACAUUGUAGAACUAUAGCUUGUCUACUUUACGGAUCAAAAUCUUUGUUUGUUUGUUUGGUUUGGUUUAAGAUGGCUGAAAAGAAAGCUCGCACUAGAAAGCUAGGCAAACUUCACUUCGAAAAUGGUAACGCCAAGAAAGAGGAUCAAUAAUGACUGCAGAUCUUCUUCAAGCUGAGAAACACCAGACAAUUCCGGCGGCCGCCCCGCUGCUCCGCUCCGCUCGCCGGCGCCGGCCGCCCCGCUCCGCCUGUGGGGAUGUGGCCGGGCUGAGGGAGGCGCCGCCGGGCCGGGUCUCGCGAGAGGCGGAGGCCGCUCACCGAGCUCUCGCGAGAGCGCCGCCGCUCCGCCGGUCCUCGCCUCAUGGCCGCGCGCUGCCGCCGGGGCGGGGCUUGGUCGCGCGCCUCUCCGCCCCCGGCCGCGGGGCUGCGGGUUCGCGCCCGCCCUCCGCCUCCCUCAGCCCCGCGCGCCGCCGUUACCUGCCCCGGGCCGCGGCCGCCCAUAGUCCCGCCGCUCCUAGGCCCGGCGCCCGGCGGGACGGAGCCGUUACCUGCGCGGAGGCGUCUGUGAGAACGGGCUCCGGGCCCCGCUCGGCGCGUUAGAAUGUUCUGGCAAAGGGGAAAAAAAAAAGCAACGCAAACCGGCAGCGGGGCGGCCUCCCCUCGGCACGGCCGACAUUGCCACCUCGCGCCGACAGGAGGGAAGCGCGCUGCUCGCUCCCGCCCUCCGCCGGCCUUAGCGCCAAAGCGAUGGGAACGUUUAUCGCUUCAAAUCCUUCCGUUUCGGUGUCGCGGCGCUUCCAGUUCAGUUUGUCCGCCGUCCGGGAUGCUGCGCUCCGGCAGCCGCGCUGUGGGAGCCCAGCGCUCCCGGGGAGUCCCCUCAGCGCUGCCCUGCGUGCCCGGGGAGCACCGGGGGCAAUAACGGAAGUGGAGGCAGCAGGGCUGGCACAAAGAACACAUUAAGGAACGUGAGGGCUCGGUGGCGAUGGCGGGGAGCGCGGCUCUUACCUGAUGGAACGGAAAGCCGCGCAGCUGUCUGCGCGCAGAGCAAAUCACACAGCAAAGCGUGCAGUGCUGACAAACAACCACGGGUCGGCGUCUCCUGGGUGCCAAAGCCGCUUCGGGUUCCUGACUUCAUUCCAGCCCCGCUAUUUUGCUGCCCAUGGGUUUCAUCUCCAUCCCCUUUGCUGAGCAGAGCUCUGCAGUGCACCCCAAGCACUGCUGCCAGCAGCAGGCGAGCUUUGGGGUCACACCAGUGAACCCUCUGUCCCCUCCUACUGCUUUUUGUGUAGGAGUGCAGCCCAUCCUCAAAG